GUAGGGGGCAAGCGUUAUCCGGAUUUACUGGGUGUAAAGGGAGCGUAGGUGGAUUGUUAAGUCAGAUGUGAAAUCCCCGGGCUCAACCUGGGAACUGCAUCUGAUACUGGCAAGCUUGAGUCUCGUAGAGGGGGGUAGAAUUCCAGGUGUAGCGGUGAAAUGCGUAGAGAUCUGGAGGAAUACCGGUGGCGAAGGCGGCCCCCUGGACGAAGACUGACGCUCAGGUGCGAAAGCGUGGGGAGCAAACAGGAUUAGAUACCCUGGUAGUCCACGCCGUAAACGAUGUCGACUUGGAGGUUGUGCCCUUGAGGCGUGGCUUCCGGAGCUAACGCGUUAAGUCGACCGCCUGGGGAGU
rnacentral:rRNA from 1 species